rnacentral:rRNA from 1 species
UACGUAGGGGGCAAGCGUUGUCCGGAUUUAUUGGGCGUAAAGAGCGUGUAGGCGGCCAGACAGGUCAGCUGUGAAAACUCGAGGCUCAACCUCGAGACGUCGGUUGAAACCGUCUGGCUAGAGUCCGGAAGAGGAGAGUGGAAUUCCCGGUGUAGCGGUGAAACUGCGCAGAUAUCGGGAAGAACACCCGUGGCGAAGGCGGCUCUCUGGGACGGUACUGACGCUGA